rnacentral:rRNA from 1 species
AGAUGCGAUCAUAUCAGUACUAAAGAAUGGCACCCCAUUAGUACUCCGAAGUAAAAGCACGUUUGGAGUCGGACGAGAGUAAUGCUCGAUGGGUGACUCUCGGGAAGUCCCCGUAUUGCCUUCC